CCUAAGAUGACUGGGAUAUGACUUUUUGGAUUUGAUGCUGUCUCAGUUUCUAGGAUCACAAAAUCCACAGGGUAAAUAAAAUCACUGACCUUGAUUAGCACAUCCUCCACAACUCCCUUGGAGAUUCUCACUGAUCGGUCUGCCAAUUGUAAUAUAAUUUCUGUAAGCUUUAAUUCUCCUAUCCCUAAUUUCUCAUAGACUGAA
rnacentral:lncRNA from 1 species